AGGAAAAGAAACUAACAAGGAUUCCCCUAGUAACUGCGAGUGAAGCGGGAAAAGCUCAAAUUUAAAAUCUGGCGGUCUCUGGCCGUCCGAGUUGUAAUCUAGAGAAGUAAUGCCCGUGCUGGACCGUGUAUAAGUCUCCUGGGAUGGGGCGUCAUAGAGGGUGAGAAUCCCGUCUUUGACACGGACUACCAGUGCAUUGUGGUAUGCUCUCAAAGAGUCGAGUUGUUUGGGAAUGCAGCUCAAAAUGGGUGGUAAAUUCCAUCUAAAGCUAAAUAUUGGCGAGAGACCGAUAGCGAACAAGUACCGUGAGGGAAAGAUGAAAAGAACUUUGGAAAGAGAGUUAAACAGUACGUGAAAUUGCUGAAAGGGAAACGCUUGAAGUCAGUCGCGUUGGCCGGGGAUCAGCCUUGCUUUUGCAUGGUGUACUUUCUGGUUGACGGGUCAGCAUCAAUUUUGACCGCUGGAAAAAGACCUGGGGAAUGUGGCAGCUUCGGCUGUGUUAUAGCCCCUAGUCGCAUACAGUGGUUGGGAUUGAGGAACUCAGCACGCCGCAAGGCCGGGUUUCGACCACGUUCGUGCUUAGGAUGCUGGCAUAAUGGCUUUAAGCGACCCGUCUUGAAACACGGACCAAGGAGUCUAACAUGCCUGCGAGUAUUUGGGUGGAAAACCCAAGUGCGUAAUGAAAGUGAAAGUUGAGAUCCCUGUCGUGGGGAGCAUCGACGCCCGGACCAGAACUUUUGGGACGGAUCCGCGGUGGAGCAUGUAUGUUGGGACCCGAAAGAUGGUGAACUAUGCCUGAAUAGGGUGAAGCCAGAGGAAACUCUGGUGGAGGCUCGUAGCGAUUCUGACGUGCAAAUCGAUCGUCAAAUUUGGGUAUAGGGGCGAAAGACU
rnacentral:rRNA from 1 species